ensembl:lncRNA
UUCUCUGCCCCUUACAGAAUAAAGCAUGAUCACGUGAUCCAUUUGGUCAAUGAAAUGUGAGUAGAAGUAGCCUGUGUCACAUCCAGGAGGAAGCUUGUAGGGUAGUUUUAGUUUAGCACAUUCUCUUCCCCUUCUGAGGUGAUUAGAGAAGAUGAUGUUGAGAGGGAAUUUCCAGGAGGUCCCUGAGUGGCUGCAAUAAGCAGAGCACCCCCACCCCACUCCCACUUCCCCACGUCCUGCGAUGAAUAUGUAGUAUAAAUGAUGAGAAAACUUCCAUAAUGAUAAGCCUCUGGAUUGGGGGAAUUGUUUGUAACCGUCCCUAAAGUCACCUGUCCUUGCUAGCAUAAUGUGCAAUUUUAAUUGGUAACUCUGAUAAUUACACAGAUGAGUUCCAGAGUAGAAAGACUGCAGGACAGAAAACUAGCUAGAUGGCUACCAUAAUCCACAGAUGAUAGUGCAAGGCAGGAGCCAUGAACUUAGAGAAGUAGAGAAGGAGUUCAGAGAUGCAAUGGCAAGAACUGACAUGAGUUGGUAAUCACUCAGAUUCUAAAAGCACCGAAGAGCCUAAUUGUUUCAGAGGUGUUGAAAAGAGAAAGUUCUUGAAAGAAAAAGGAUGGCUAAGAGGGGAGAUGAAGUAAAACAAGAUUAACGAAGCAGCUGUGGGCAGCAUAAGAGGUGUAUCUUGUAUCUCAUCAAAAGCAGAGGCACGUCCCUCUACAAUAAAGGCUAGAGGUAGAUCAUGAACUUAGGAAGAAAACAGGCUAAGUGUGAAUGCUGGGUGAAUUUGACAAGCCAUUCAACUUCAUUUGUGCAUUCAUUAAUUCAUUCAGCAAACAGUAACAGCCUCACUCAUUCAUCAACAUCAGUAAAGAAUACAAAAAUGGCCCCUGUCCUAAUGGGGCUUACAUUGAAAUGAAGUGAAGCAGACACAACUAUUUAAACAUUGCACAGAAAACGGACAUGAUACUGUGAUUACAAAUUAUACAGGACUUGUCAAAGACAAUAGCCACUCAUUUUGUUUAAAACCCCUACAUGGCAUCAAAGUAAAAAAUAGAGACCUCUAUGUCCUUUGAAUGUACAAAAAGAACCAUCCUCCUUUCCUCUUAUUGUUUUACAUUUAAAGAACCAACUGAAAAAUCAACUCUCCUGACCCAGAGACAACUGUUUAACAAUCAAGACUUCCAGUUAAUUAACACCACCUGGUGAGCCAGUCAAACAUUGUUCUAAAGGUAGCAGGUGGGGAAUGAGUGGCUAAUAUGGCUUUUAGAGAAGCAGCUUCUCAGUAUUUCAAGUACCAGGUGCAUAUGAAUUGCCAGCAGAUCUUGGUGAAUGUGGGAUAUGAUUCAGUGGAUCCAGAGUGAGACCUGAGACUCUACAUUUCCAACAAGCUCCCAGGGAUACCAAGGCAAGGUUCUAGAGGCCUUGGAAGUGUAUUAACCUCAAGGGAGUUCAUGGGCUAUGCUUGCCUCCAGCUGUUUUAGUACUGAGCUCAGAAGAGCAUCUCUACCACAUGCCACCAUUCUCAUCAGGGCCACCUAUUUUCCUUUGUACAAAAAAAAAAAAAAAAAAAAAAAAAAAAAA